AUGCCACGCACACCAUCUCAUGUGUGGAUACAUUUCCGCUCAGCCAAUCUGGAAGGAAAGGCUGUGUACAGUUGCAAAUACUGUGCAAAGACCUAUGUUAAGAAUGCCACAAAGAUGCAGCAGCAUAUAGCCAAGUGCCCAAAGUUUUCCCAGAGCUCAAAACAAGCAACACCAGACAAGAGUUCAUCAGCUUCCAUCCGAUGUGAAAAUGAUUCAGAUUCAGACACCCUCUCGUCAGCUCCCGGUCACUCUGGAAUCGGAGGAUUGUUUGACUCCAUGGAUGAACGGAGCCAGAGAAAUGCUGAUGAAUGUUUCGCUCGAGCAAUGUAUGCAACUGGCUCACCUCUGAUGCUCACAUCCAAUGUCUAUUGGAAAAGAUUCCUGAAUGUCCUUCGCCCCGCAUACACACCUUCCACCAGUCAUGCUUUAUCUACUCAUUUGCUGGAUGGAGAGUUCAACAGAGUGCAAGCAAAGGUCAAGCAAACUAUUGACAAAGCAGAGUGCAUUUCCGUCAUCUCUGAUGGGUGGUCGAAUGUCCGGGAACAAGGAAUCAUCAACUACAUUGUCACCACCCCUCAACCAGUAUUCUAUAAGACCACAGACACAAAGCACAACAGACACACAGGAUCCUACAUUGCUGAUGAGCUGAAAGCAGUCAUCAGUGAUCUUGGAUCUGAGAAGGUUUGUGCACUUGUAACUGACAAUGCUGCAAACAUGAAGGUUGCUUGGGCACACGUGAAGGAGACCUACCCUCACAUAACAACAAUUGGCUGUGCUGCCCAUGCUCUUAAUCGUCUCCUUAAGGACAUCAUGGCACUGAAUACAAUGAACACACUGUAUAAGACAGCGAAGCAAGUCGUGAAAUAUGUGAAGGGCAAACAGGUAGCUUCAGCAAUCUACCUCUCUAAGCAAAAAGAAAAAAACAAGAACGCCACACUGAAGCUCCCCAGCAUCACUCGAUGGAGUGGGGUUGUCCUCAUGUACCACAGUCUGCUAGAGGGGAAGGAGUCUUUGCAAGAGAUGGCCAUAUCCCAAACUGCAGCCAUUGAAAGUGCCAUCAAGAGAAUCCUGUUAGAUGAUAUGUUCUGGGAAAAAGUGACUGGCAGCCUGAGAAUCCUCAAACCAAUAGCAGCAGCUAUUGCCAAGAUAGAAGGGGAUACUGCCAUCUUGUCAGAUGUUAAAUAUCUGUUUGCUGAGCUCAAAGAAGAAAUGCAAACUGUCCUGCCCGCCUCCCUGCUGCUUCAAGCAGAGGAAACUGCAGUGGUCAAGUCCCUGGAGAAGCACCAAGAGUUCUGCACCAAACCAAUACAUGCAGCAGCAUACAUGCUGGACCCAAAGUAUGAGAAAAGCAUACUCUCUGCUGAAGAGAUCCGCAGUGCUUACACUGUUAUUACUGCCUUGUCUCACCGUCUUGGGCUUGAUGAAGGCAAAGUUCUCGGCAGUCUAGCAAAGUACCGUACCAAGCAAGGUCUUUGGGAAUGGGAUGGGAUAUGGCAGUCGUGCCAGCACAUAUCUGCAUCUACCUGGUGGAAAGGACUUUGUGGAUCUGAGGCCCUUGCACCUGUAGCAUCUAUCAUCCUUCAAAUCCCACCAACAUCAGCCGCCUCUGAGUGCAGCUGGUCACUGUUGGGGAACACGCACACAAAGGUUCGCAACAGGCUCACGAAUGCAAGGGAGGAGAAACUGGUGGCCAUCCGAGCAAACCUACGGCUCUUUGAGCCUGACACAGAGCCAUCCUGGACAAGGCUGGACAGUGACACCGAAGAUGAAGAGGAGUCAGACAUGGAGGAUGUUAAUGAGGUCCAGGAAGAAGCCAAUGAGACCUGA
ensembl:lncRNA